GACGAACGCUGGCGGCGUGCUUAACACAUGCAAGUCGAACGGUAAGGCUCCAGCUUGCUGGGGUACACGAGUGGCGAACGGGUGAGUAACACGUGGGUGACCUGCCCUGCACUUCGGGAUAAGCCUGGGAAACUGGGUCUAAUACCGGAUAGGACCAUGGUGUGGAUACUGUGGUGGAAAGUUUUUUCGGUGUGGGAUGGGCCCGCGGCCUAUCAGCUUGUUGGUGGGGUAAUGGCCUACCAAGGCGGCGACGGGUAGCCGGCCUGAGAGGGUGGACGGCCACAUUGGGACUGAGACACGGCCCAGACUCCUACGGGAGGCAGCAGUGGGGAAUAUUGCACAAUGGGCGGAAGCCUGAUGCAGCGACGCCGCGUGGGGGAUGACGGCCUUCGGGUUGUAAACUCCUUUCGCCAUCGACGAAGGGUUUCUGACGGUAGAUGGAGAAGAAGCACCGGCUAACUACGUG
rnacentral:rRNA from 1 species